UAAUAGCCCCAGGGNAUUACGAGCCCANNNUUAAAACCCAAAGGACUUGACGGUGUCCCACCCACCUAGAGGAGCCUGUUCUAUAAUCGACACCACCCGAUAUACCUCACCACCCCUAGCACACCAGUCUGUAUACCUCCGUCGNAAGCUUACCAUGUGAACGCCACCAGUGAGCUUAAAGAUUUUUCAUCAACACGUCAGGUCAAGGUGCAACUAACGAAGUGGAAAGCAAUGGGCUACAAUCUCUAUAAUAGAACACACGAAAAACUGCAUGAAACACAGUCAUGAAGGAGGAUUUAGUAGUAAAAAGAAAAUAGAGCGUUCUUUUUAAUUAGGCGCUGGGACGCGU
rnacentral:rRNA from 1 species